CUAUACAUGCAGUCGAGCGGACAGAUGGGAGCUUGCUCCCUGAUGUUAGCGGCGGACGGGUGAGUAACACGUGGGUAACCUGCCUGUAAGACUGGGAUAACUCCGGGAAACCGGGGCUAAUACCGGAUGCUUGAUUGAACCGCAUGGUUCAAUUAUAAAAGGUGGCUUUUAGCUACCACUUACAGAUGGACCCGCGGCGCAUUAGCUAGUUGGUGAGGUAACGGCUCACCAAGGCAACGAUGCGUAGCCGACCUGAGAGGGUGAUCGGCCACACUGGGACUGAGACACGGCCCAGACUCCUACGGGAGGCAGCAGUAGGGAAUCUUCCGCAAUGGACGAAAGUCUGACGGAGCAACGCCGCGUGAGUGAUGAAGGUUUUCGGAUCGUAAAACUCUGUUGUUAGGGAAGAACAAGUACCGUUCGAAUAGGGCGGUACCUUGACGGUACCUAACCAGAAAGCCACGGCUAACUACGUGCCAGCAGCCGCGGUAAUACGUAGGUGGCAAGCGUUGUCCGGAAUUAUUGGGCGUAAAGCGCGCGCAGGCGGUUUCUUAAGUCUGAUGUGAAAGCCCCCGGCUCAACCGGGGAGGGUCAUUGGAAACUGGGGAACUUGAGUGCAGAAGAGGAGAGUGGAAUUCCACGUGUAGCGGUGAAAUGCGUAGAGAUGUGGAGGAACACCAGUGGCGAAGGCGACUCUCUGGUCUGUAACUGACGCUGAGGCGCGAAAGCGUGGGGAGCGAACAGGAUUAGAUACCCUGGUAGUCCACGCCGUAAACGAUGAGUGCUAAGUGUUAGAGGGUUUCCGCCCCUUUAGUGCUGCAGCA
rnacentral:rRNA from 1 species